AUUGCUUCUCCACCUUUUGGCUAAGAUCAAGUGUAGUAUCUGUUCUUAACAAUUUAACAUCAUGGACUUCCUAAUAUGAUGCACUGAAAAGGAUGUCAUAUAGGACUUUUGUGCAGUCUUGCUCAAAAUGCAAGCCACGAAUCUAAUCCUCAGGACAUACUCACAAAUCCAAAUCGAGGGGCACUCCA
rnacentral:snRNA from 1 species